rnacentral:lncRNA from 1 species
AACCCUCAGUCCUGCCGGAGCAUGAGAGGACUGGGAUGGAACAAUGGAAUGGCACUGAUAGCAUACAUACAUGUGCGUGUGUGGGAGUGUGUGUGUGUGCGUUUUGGCUAUUUCUAAAUAUCAGCUGGGAUGUUAUUGUUGCUUACUCUAGCUCUUUAAAAUAUUUAUGUACAGUCCUGUUUUUUUUUUCAAGCUGCUAAAUACAUAUUUUGUUGUUCCCUGACUACCUGAAGAAGUCAGUGCUGGGUGUCUGUGUGCAUCCAGCUCAGCUUAAAUUGUUUAGCUUUUGCUUCCAUCUCAUGCUUCAGUACCAAGGUUUGUCACCGACCCAGUGGUUGUACUUUUGAAUGUAUUUUUUUAAUUGCCAGCAGAUGUAUUACAAAUGAUGCCGUGCAGCAGAACGUUUGGUCGUUUGCACUGUCCUUAUGGCAAUGACAUUGCUUUUCUUCAUAAAUGUCCUACUAGGAAAAAAUAAAUUGAAUAAAGUGUCUUGGUUGUCAUUUGGUCAUCUGUUUCCAACACAUUCAUUAUCAGCAGCCUGGUUCUUUGGUGGAUUUCUACCAGGACGCUUCUCUAGUUGAGAAAAUGGCGAUUUGGUGAUUAUGGACAUUAGAGAAAUUUGUGGUAUUUUGUUUCACAGAACCUGAGGCUACACCUUACCUUCAGUGUUUCCCAUUGCUGGUGCUCCUUGUUACAUUUAAAUACCCAUCUUCACCUUGAGUACUGGGAUUAGUGGUUCCAGAGAUUUUUUUUUCCCUUUCUGUAGGGGAUAAAUUUGGCCCUACUUGUCAAUACUAAUUUGGCCAGGAGCAGGGAUUUAUUUUAUUUAUUUUAUUUUAUAGCUGUCUUUCAUGUCCUUCCAUUUAUUUUUGAAUUCUACACAUUUGCUUGCUUAUCUGAAAUACCAAAUUAUAGCAGUUACCGUGUGGUGUAUUUUAGGAUGCUUGUUGUAAGUUAAGGAAUUUUUGCAUUCAGAGAUAAAUUAUUAUCAUGGCAUGUAGGGAAUGCGAAACAGUCUUUUUUUUUUUUUUUUUUUUUUUUACAGGAUUUAAGACAUUUAUCAAGCUCUGUUCCUGCAGCUUUCAAUGGCUCAAACAGUUUCAAAUUACUGCUCGUGGAUUGUUCUUGACACCGAGAAUGGUAAAUUUGAGCUGUGGAAACGCUGGAAUGUGUGGUGUGUGCUUUUCCUGAACAAGGGAAUUCAACGGGUAAAUUACAGUCAUUUACUUGGAGUGUAAUUUACUGAGAGCCUUUAGGCAAAUGCAGGAGAAAGGACAGCAGGACAGGAAAAAUAGCUAAAACAGGAGCUCUCCCCCCAUCUUUGCAUGAAAUCCACUCUGCAUCCAUGCGAUGGGGAUAAUAAAAACUUUCUUAUUUAAAAAAUGUAUAAUUCU